rnacentral:rRNA from 1 species
GAUGAACGCUGGCGGCGUGCCUAAUACAUGCAAGUCGAGCGAACAGACGAGGAGCUUGCUCCUUUGACGUUAGCGGCGGACGGGUGAGUAACACGUGGGUAACCUACCUAUAAGACUGGGAUAACUUCGGGAAACCGGAGCUAACACCGGAUAAUAUUUCGAACCGCAUGGUUCGAUAGUGAAAGAUGGCUUUGCUAUCACUUAUAGAUGGACCUGCGCCGUAUUAGCUAGUUGGUAAGGUAACGGCUUACCAAGGCAACGAUACGUAGCCGACCUGAGAGGGUGAUCGGCCACACUGGAACUGAGACACGGUCCAGACUCCUACGGGAGGCAGCAGUAGGGAAUCUUCCGCAAUGGGCGAAAGCCUGACGGAGCAACGCCGCGUGAGUGAUGAAGGUCUUCGGAUCGUAAAACUCUGUUAUUAGGGAAGAACAAACGUGUAAGUAACUGUGCACGUCUUGACGGUACCUAAUCAGAAAGCCACGGCUAACUACGUG